GAGCUAGAAGCCUGAGGAGCCGGAGAGGGUGCUGGCUGCCGCGCGGCCGAGUGUGUUUUAUGGACCAUGUGCUGCUAUGUAUGCCUGAAGAAGUACUUGAAAUGCAAAUUUGGGGAGACUUUGCCAUAUAAAUGCUUGGCUGGAUUAAGCGCCUAAUUAGGAUGGUUUUUCAACAAGUUGGAGUAAGCAUGCAAUCGCUUUCGAUUUUUCCUACUUCCUCAGGUACUUUGGUCUAGGAAGCCAUAUGGUUCGUCUCGAAGUAUCGUAAGGAAAAUUGGUACUAAUUUGUCUCUGAUUCAGUGUCCAAGAGUUCAGUUUCAGAUUAACAGCCAUGCAACAGAAUGGAGUCCCAGCCACCCAGGAGAGGAUGCGGUGGCGUCUUUUGCUGAUGUUGGAUGGGUAGCCAAAGAAGAAGGAGAGUGUUCAGCAAGACUAAGGACAGAGGUCAGAUCAAGGCCACCCCUUCAGGAUGACCUUCUUUUCUUUGAGAAGGCCCCAAGCAGACAGAUUUCCUUACCAGACUUCUCUCAAGAAGAGCCUCAGCUGAAGACCCCAGCACUGGCAAAUGAG
rnacentral:sRNA from 1 species